rnacentral:rRNA from 1 species
GAUGAACGCUAGCGGCAGGCUUAAUACAUGCAAGUCGAGGGGCAGCGCAGUGUAGCAAUACAUGGGCGGCGACCGGCAAACGGGUGCGGAACACGUACAGAACCUUCCUUCGAGCGGGGAAUAGCCCAGAGAAAUUUGGAUUAAUACCCCAUAGUAUAUUGAAGAGGCAUCUCUUUACUAUUAAAGAUUUAUCACUUGAAGAUGGCUGUGCGGCUGAUUAGGAGUUGGCGGGGUAACGGCCCACCAAGCCUGCGAUCAGUAACUGGUGUGAGAGCACGACCAGUCACACGGGCGACUGAGACACGGGCCCGACUCCUACGGGAGGCAGCAGUAAGGAAUAUUGGUCAAUGGACGAAAGUCUGAACCAGCCAUGCCGCGUGGAGGAUGAAGGUCCUCUGGAUUGUAAACUUCUUUUAUCUGGGACGAAAGAUCUUUCUAGAUCACCUGACGGUACCAGAUGAAUAAGC